AGCCCCGUGGUCCAGUGGUCAAAGACUCAAGCCUUUGGAGCUUGGAACCCCGGUUCGAAUCCGGGCGGGGCUA
rnacentral:tRNA from 1 species